CUAUAUAGUGUAAGAUGAACAAAACAGGAGGACUGUACUAGCUGACUCUUAUGUUGACCAUUCACUCCGGUCAGAAUGCAGCUGACGGGACCUCAGUGUUCAUUCUCUGCACUUUAUUAAUCACAUUGGAGGCAGAGCAGAACACAGGGCACUUAAACAGACUUUAGGUUUAGAUUUGUGAACUUGUGAAAUACAACAGAAAUAAAUAAUAAAGUUUAGUGCAUAUACAUAGCAGAACAUUCACCAUUAUGUACACGGGUUCCCUCAGGUUAACGUAUUCGUAACAGAGGAACAAUGACAUUCACAUCACCUGCUCUCCUGUUCAAACAUACUGUAGGUAAAGAUCACCUUCUAGUCUAUAUUACUGUAACACCCUCUUGAUCGUGACCCGGGCUGGUGGCUGUGUGUGUGUGUGUGUGUGUGUGUGUGUGAGUGGCUUUUGAUUUGCCUUUUGGGUGUUUGCUGUGUGCUUGGUGGGUUUUGUUUUUGUCUGUCUUCUCUUCCAUGUCUCCUGGAGCUGGUGGGCGUGGUCUCCAGUUCACUACGGCUGUCGCACACUUGUUCUCUGUCUCAAUCAAGCACCUGUUCUGCAUUCACUCAUCACCGCUCACUACUUAACCCUGGCCAGAUCUCCAGUCCUUCUCAGAUCGUUGUGUAACCUGAGAAAUUCGCCCUGUUCCCCCUGGGUUACCUGUCCUCCCCACCAGCCUGCACAGUCGUCAGGAGUAAUCCCCACCUCCCCCCGCCUGCCAGCUCCCACAACUUCUCCCUCCUCAACGGAACCCGGACCUUUCCCCGAUCCCCCUCAGCUCACCUAUUCCCUCUCUGUUCGUUGUAACCUAAAACCAUAAACCUCUUAAAUUCA